rnacentral:rRNA from 1 species
GGAAGAAUAAGCACCGGCUAACUACGUGCCAGCAGCCGCGGUAAUACGUAGGGUGCGAGCGUUAAUCGGAAUUACUGGGCGUAAAGCGUGCGCAGGCGGUCUUGUAAGACAGUCGUGAAAGCCCCGGGCUUAACCUGGGAACUGCGAUUGUGACUGCAAGGCUAGAGUGUGUCAGAGGGGGGUGGAAUUCCACGUGUAGCAGUGAAAUGCGUAGAGAUGUGGAGGAACACCGAUGGCGAAGGCAGCCCCCUGGGAUAACACUGACGCUCAUGCACGAAAGCGUGGGGAGCAAAACAGGAUUAGAUACCCUGGUAGUCCACGCCCUAAACGAUGUCAACUGGUUGUUGGAAGGGUAACCUUUUAGUAACGAAGCUAACGCGUGAAGUUGACCGCCUGGGGGAGUACGGUCGCAAGAUUAAAACUCAAAGGAAUU